UGUGUGUGUGUGUGUAUAUAUCUGACUAAAAGAAGACAGACCCAAAAGGCCACAUAUUAUAUCACUCUAUUUCUAUGAAAUGUCCAGAACAGGCAAGCCCACAGAGACAGAAGGUAGAUGAGUGGUUGCUAGUGGUGGAUGGAGAAUGAUUGCUAAUGGGUUUCUUUUUGGAGUGACGAAAAUCUUCUAAAAUUAGAUAGCAGUAAUGUGUAUACAGCUCUGAAUAUACUAUAUUACAUUGAAUUAUAUGCUUUAAAUUGUUAAAGUUUUGGUUUGUGAAUUAUAUCUCAAUAAGGCUGUGACCAAAAAAAAAAAAUAUAUAUAUAUGUACGUGACAUGUUUCUGGUAGAUAGGGCUGAUUACAGCAAUACUAUAGUUUAUAAAAUAAUCACUAACAUUUAAUGUUUCCUCCAUGCCAGGUAUGCUGAUCACAUCACACAUACGAAUCAUCACACUCUCACACCACCUGAUGCAGUAGGUACUAUUAUCAGUGCCCUUUUGUAGAUGAGGAAAUGGAAGCCCAGAGAGGUUAAGUGACUUGCCCACGAUCACACAGCUAUUAAGUGGUGGAGCUGGCAUUUGAAACUGUGGUUUCACUCCACAGACACCAAGGAACUUCCAGGAACUGCCACCAAGCGCCUCAUUCCGGCUGGCCAGCCCCUGGAGGCCAGGAUCGGUGUCACAGACGGCCUGGGCCUCGGCCCCGCCCCAACCCCCAGCCGCUGAGGGCAGGUAGGUGGGCUCGGAGCCCCUGCGGGUCACCCCCAGCGGGGGUCCUGGCUGGGUGACAAGCGGCUCCGAAUGGCGGCGGCCCCACUGCAAGUGGCCCGGGGGCUGCGGGUGCUGAUAGCUGUGUGGGGAGGAGAGCGGGGAGGAGACAGGCUGGCUCCUCCGGCCCGGAGCUAGCUCAGCCUGGAGCGUGUGGCUGAGCAGGGAGAAGAGGUCUGGGGAGAAGCCUGGCCACGAAGCGACAGGUCGUCCUGUGUCCCCACCCCCUCCCGCUGGACGAGGAGCGGCGCUCACCUGCACCCGUCUCCGUGGAAGCAGAAUCCUCGCUGGAAGUACCUGCAGACCUGGGACGCCUUCCUGUCUUGAGCCGAGUGGCAGCUGGGCCCCGAGUGACGGCCCCCUCGG